rnacentral:rRNA from 1 species
UACGUAGGGCGCAAGCGUUGUCCGGAAUUAUUGGGCGUAAAGAGCUCGUAGGCGGUUUGUCGCGUCUGCUGUGAAAACUCGAGGCUCAACCUCGGGCUUGCAGUGGGUACGGGCAGACUAGAGUUCGGUAGGGGAGACUGGAAUUCCUGGUGUAGCGGUGAAAUGCGCAGAUAUCAGGAGGAACACCGGUGGCGAAGGCGGGUCUCUGGGCCGAUACUGACGCUGAGGAGCGAAAGCGUGGGGAGCGAACAGG